AUUGAACGCUGGCGGCAGGCCUAACACAUGCAAGUCGAACGGUAACAGGAAGCAGCUUGCUGCUUUUCUGACGAGUGGCGGACGGGUGAGUAAUGUCUGGGAAACUGCCUGAUGGAGGGGGAUAACUACUGGCAACGGUAGCUAAUACCGCAUAACGUCGCAAGCCCAAAGAGGGGUACCUUAGGGCCUCUUGCCAUCGGAUGUGCCCAGAUGGGAUUAGCUAGUAGGUGGGGUAACGGCUCACCUAGGCGACGAUCCCUAGCUGGUCUGAGAGGAUGACCAGCCACACUGGAACUGAGACACGGUCCAGACUCCUACGGGAGGCAGCAGUGGGGAAUAUUGCACAAUAGGCGCAAGCCUGAUGCAGCCAUGCCGCGUGUAUGAAGAAGGCCUUCGGGUUGUAAAGUACUUUCAGCGGGGAGGAAGGGAGUAAAGUUAAUACCUUUGCUCAUUGACGUUACCCGCAGAAGAAGCACCGGCUAACUCCGUG
rnacentral:rRNA from 1 species